GAAGGAAGCUUGCUUUCAUUUUAAACCUAGUGGCGGACGGGUGAGUGACGCGUGAGGAACCUGCCCUUCAGUGGGGAACAACAACUAGAAAUGGUUGCUAAUACCGCAUAAUGUCGGAGAGCCGCAUGACAUUCCGACCAAAGGAUUUAUUCGCUGAAGGAUGGCCUCGCGUCCGAUUAGGCAGUUGGUGAGGUAACGGCCCACCAAACCUACGAUCGGUAGCCGAACUGAGAGGUUGAUCGGCCACAUUGGGACUGAGACACGGCCCAGACUCCUACGGGAGGCAGCAGUGGGGAAUAUUGGGCAAUGGGCGAAAGCCUGACCCAGCAACGCCGCGUGAAGGAUGACGGUCUUCGGAUUGUAAACUUCUUUAAUUGGGGAAGAACAAAAUGACCUACCCAAAGAAUAAGUCACGGCUAACUACGUGCCAGCAGCCGCGGUAAUACGUAGGUGACAAGCGUUAUCCGGAUUUACUGGGCGUAAAGGGCGUGUAGGCGGUCUUGCAAGUCAGAAGUGAAAUUCCUGAGCUCAACUCGGGCGCUGCUUCUGAAACUGCAGGACUUGAGUGCUGGAGGGGAUAGCGGAAUUCCUAGUGGAGCGGUAAAAUGCGCAGAUAUUAGGAAGAACACCGGUGGCGAAGGCGGCUAUCUGGACAGUAACUGACGCUGAGGCGCGAAAGCGUGGGGAGCAAACAGG
rnacentral:rRNA from 1 species